rnacentral:rRNA from 1 species
GACGAACGCUGGCGGCGUGCUUAACACAUGCAAGUCGAACGGAAAGGCCCUGCUUGCAGGGUACUCGAGUGGUGAACGGGUGAGUAACACGUGGGUGAUCUGCCCUGCACUUCGGGAUAAGCCUGGGAAACUGGGUCUAAUACCGGAUAGGAGCCAUUUUUAGUGUGAUGGUUGGAAAGUUUUUUCGGUCUAGGAUGAGCUCGCGGCCUAUCAGCUUGUUGGUGGGGUAAUGGCCUACCAAGGCGGCGACGGGUAGCCGGCCUGAGAGGGUGGACGGCCACAUUGGGACUGAGAUACGGCCCAGACUCCUACGGGAGGCAGCAGUGGGGAAUAUUGCACAAUGGGCGCAAGCCUGAUGCAGCGACGCCGCGUGGGGGAUGACGGCCUUCGGGUUGUAAACUCCUUUCGCUAGGGACGAAGCUUUUUGUGACGGUACCUAGAUAAGAAGCACCGGCUAACUACGUG